GCCUUUGUGGUGCAACGGUUAGUACACUCGGCGCGUAUUCGAAAGGUCCAGGUUCGAGUCCCGGCGAGGGCA
rnacentral:tRNA from 1 species